UCAUCGACUCAUGCCAUUACUUGUCUUUUCUUUUUCUCAAUAUUUUAUAGAUGGAGAAGAUCUCAAGAUCCCACCUGAAUUCCCUCAAACUUCAUUAUCAGAUUCAGAAUACAAACCUCGUAAUAUAUAGAUAUUCUCUCUUAGAUUGCUUCAGUGAAUUCUUCGGUUAUAAGUGGGAGUCCUCGAAUUCAUGAUCAAUAUGGCAGGUGGAGGUGGAUAUCGAGGCGCCUUCUGAAGCCAUCUCAUCACUCUUAGACUCGCUUAAAAUCAUGUUCACCUGUUCAGCAGCCAUUUGAAGAGACGAUGUAGGAGGAUUCAAAUAAUUGUUUUCCUUGGUGACUGCAUCUUGAUCGUUACUAAACUGAGAAGCAACAAAUUUAUCCAUUACACGCCAAUCAGUCAUCACUUGAACAUCAUUUCCACCACCAUCACCAUUAUUAUUAUAACCAUAAAGCAAGUUGGGGUUCAAUUGGUGAUCAGUUGGAGGUUGAAAAGUGGUUGCAUAGGAAGCGUUAAUGUUACCAGCUGAAGAUUGUGGAAAUCUAAGAGACUCUAAUUGAGGAAGCUGGAGGAAGGAGUGCUCACGAGGGAAGUUAUAAUGGAUUUGAUCAUCAAGCUCAGAUUUCGCAGGAAAUUGAUGCUGGAAUGAACUGUUCGAUGUAUAAGGAUGAGAAUGAGAUACUCGACUUGGGGAUUCAAAAUCCGGCAUGAAUGAGACUUGAUCAUCGUACCAACACACAGAAUCAUGUUCGUCCAUUCUACGUACGGUUGUUAUUCGUUUUUUGAACACCCUGCAUACAACCCAUCCUUCCUCCUGUUGCAAAUUAUAAAGAACGAUGCAUGCAUUAGAAUCAGUUGAUAAUAACUCAUCUUACUGUUAUAUCGUUUUUGUUUAAAGGUAAGUAUAUAUCGGGAUAGCUGAUGAAUAUUACCAAAGCAUGUGUUCAAAAAUUAUCUUUCAUUUUGCA